UACGGGGGGGGCAAGCGUUGUUCGGAAUUACUGGGCGUAAAGGGCGCGUAGGCGGCCUGUUAAGUCGAACGUGAAAUCCCCGGGCUCAACCCGGGAACUGCGUCCGAUACUGGCAGGCUUGAAUCCGGGAGAGGGAUGCGGAAUUCCAGGUGUAGCGGUGAAAUGCGUAGAUAUCUGGAGGAACACCGGUGGCGAAGGCGGCAUCCUGGACCGGUAUUGACGCUGAUGCGCGAAAGCCAGGGGAGCAAACGGG
rnacentral:rRNA from 1 species